CCCUGGCUCAGGACGAACGCGGGCGGCGUGCCUAAUACAUGCAAGUCGAGCGAAUCUUUGGGAGCUUGCUCCCGAAGGUUAGCGGCGGACGGGUGAGUAACACGUGGGCAACCUGCCUAUAAGACUGGGAUAACUUCGGGAAACCGGAGCUAAUACCGGAUAAUCCUUUUCCUCUCAUGAGGGAAAGCUGAAAGACGGUCUCGGCUGUCACUUAUAGAUGGGCCCGCGGCGCAUUAGCUAGUUGGUGAGGUAACGGCUCACCAAGGCGACGAUGCGUAGCCGACCUGAGAGGGUGAUCGGCCACACUGGGACUGAGACACGGCCCAGACUCCUACGGGAGGCAGCAGUAGGGAAUCUUCCGCAAUGGACGAAAGUCUGACGGAGCAACGCCGCGUGAACGAUGAAGGCUUUCGGGUCGUAAAGUUCUGUUGUUAGGGAAGAACAAGUAUCGGAGUAACUGCCGGUACCUUGACGGUACCUAACCAGAAAGCCACGGCUA
rnacentral:rRNA from 1 species